AGAGUUUGAUCCUGGCUCAGGAUGAACGCUGGCGGUAUGCUUAACACAUGCAAGUCGAACGGAGUUCUUCGGAACUUAGUGGCGGACGGGUGAGUAACGCGUGAGAAUCUGGCAAAAGGUUCGGGACAACAGUUGGAAACGACUGCUAAUACCGGAUGUGCCUGUGGGUGAAAGAUUAAUCGCCUUUUGAUGAGCUCGCGUCUGAUUAGCUAGUAGGUGUGGUAAGAGCGCACCUAGGCGACGAUCAGUAGCUGGUCUGAGAGGAUGACCAGCCACACUGGGACUGAGACACGGCCCAGACUCCUACGGGAGGCAGCAGUGGGGAAUUUUCCGCAAUGGGCGAAAGCCUGACGGAGCAAUACCGCGUGAGGGAGGAAGGCUCUUGGGUUGUAAACCUCUUUUCUCAGGGAAUAAGAAAGUGAAGGUACCUGAGGAAUCAGCAUCGGCUAACUCCGUGCCAGCAGCCGCGGUAAUA
rnacentral:rRNA from 1 species